AUGAACGCUAGCUACAGGCUUAACACAUGCAAGUCGAGGGGCAGCAUGGUCUUAGCUUGCUAAGGCCGAUGGCGACCGGCGCACGGGUGAGUAACACGUAUCCAACCUGCCGUCUACUCUUGGACAGCCUUCUGAAAGGAAGAUUAAUACAAGAUGGCAUCAUGAGUCCGCAUGUUCACAUGAUUAAAGGUAUUCCGGUAGACGAUGGGGAUGCGUUCCAUUAGAUAGUAGGCGGGGUAACGGCCCACCUAGUCUUCGAUGGAUAGGGGUUCUGAGAGGAAGGUCCCCCACAUUGGAACUGAGACACGGUCCAAACUCCUACGGGAGGCAGCAGUGAGGAAUAUUGGUCAAUGGGCGAGAGCCUGAACCAGCCAAGUAGCGUGAAGGAUGACUGCCCUAUGGGUUGUAAACUUCUUUUAUAAAGGAAUAAAGUCGGGUAUGUAUACCCGUUUGCAUGUACUUUAUGAAUAAGGAUCGGCUAACUCCGUGCCAGCAGCCGCGGUAAUACGGAGGAUCCGAGCGUUAUCCGGAUUUAUUGGGUUUAAAGGGAGCGUAGAUGGAUGUUUAAGUCAGUUGUGAAAGUUUGCGGCUCAACCGUAAAAUUGCAGUUGAUACUGGAUAUCUUGAGUGCAGUUGAGGCAGGCGGAAUUCGUGGUGUAGCGGUGAAAUGCUUAGAUAUCACGAAGAACUCCGAUUGCGAAGGCAGCCUGCUAAGCUGCAACUGACAUUGAGGCUCGAAAGUGUGGGUAUCAAACAGGAUUAGAUACCCUGGUAGUCCACACCGUAAACGAUGGAUACUAGGUGUAGGAGAUAUUAAGUCUUCUGUGCCGUCGCAAACGCAAUAAGUAUCCCACCUGGGGAGUACGGCCGCAAGGUUGAAACUCAAAGGAAUUGACGGGGGCCCGCACAAGCAGUGGAGUAUGUGGUUUAAUUCGAAGCAACGCGAAGAACCUUACCAAGUCUUGACAUCCGCCUGACCGAUCCUUAACCGGAUCUUUCCUUCGGGACAGGCGAGACAGGUGGUGCAUGGUUGUCGUCAGCUCGUGUCGUGAGAUGUUGGGUUAAGUCCCGCAACGAGCGCAACCCCUGUGAUUAGUUGCCAGCGAGUAAUGUCGGGAACUCUAAUCAAACUGCCGGUGAUAAAUCGGAGGAAGGUGGGGACGACGUCAAAUCAUCAUGCCCUUUAUGUCCUGGGCUACACACGUACUACAAUGGCGUUAAACAAAGAGAAGCAAGACCGCGAGGUGGAGCAAAACUCAGAAACAACGUCCCAGUUCGGACUGCAGGCUGCAACUCGCCUGCACGAAGUCGGAAUUGCUAGUAAUCGUGGAUCAGCAUGCCACGGUGAAUACGUUCCCGGGCCUUGUACACACCGCCCGUCACACCAUGAGAGCCGGGGGGACCCGAAGUCGGUAGUCUAACCGCAAGGAGGACGCCGCCGAAGGUAAAACUGGUGAUUGGGGUG
rnacentral:rRNA from 1 species